rnacentral:rRNA from 1 species
AUUGAACGCUGGCGGCAGGCUUAACACAUGCAAGUCGAACGGUAACAUAAAGAAGCUUGCUUUUUGAUGACGAGUGGCGGACGGGUGAGUAAUGCUUGGGAAUCUAGCUUAUGGAGGGGGAUAACUACGGGAAACUGUAGCUAAUACCGCGUAAUAUCGAAAGAUUAAAGUGUGGGACCUUCGGGCCACAUGCCAUAGGAUGAGCCCAAGUGGGAUUAGGUAGUUGGUGAGGUAAAGGCUCACCAAGCCGACGAUCUCUAGCUGGUCUGAGAGGAUGACCAGCCACACUGGGACUGAGACACGGCCCAGACUCCUACGGGAGGCAGCAGUGGGGAAUAUUGCGCAAUGGGGGCAACCCUGACGCAGCCAUGCCGCGUGAAUGAAGAA